GGCCCUUGCAGCUGGGGACUCUGGAGGCAGACCUUGCCCAAAGCCAGAGGCAGGAACUCCCCAGAUCCUCCCAGGGUAGCAUGGGAGGAUGCCGCCUCCUCCAGGAAGCUCUCUAGCGCUUUUCCGAGUCCUGGAGCCAGGCGGGACUUCUCUGUGGUCGCCUAGAAGGAGACCAACAAUUGUCAGCACAGCAAAACUGGGCAUUUCUUUUCUUACUGAGCUUUGCAGCUACCUACACAGUUGUGUGUGGCAUCUCCUCCUGGGUGCAAGGACAUGAGAUGACAUCAGGGUCUUGCUGUGUCAUCCAGGCUGGAGUGCAGUGAUAUGAGCAUGGCUCACUGCAGCCUCGACCUCCCAGCUUCAAGCAAUGCUCCCACCUUGGCCUCCCAAAGCGCUGGGAUUACAGGCAUGAGCCACCAUGCCUGGCCAUUGCCAUUGCAGUAAGUUUUGAAAUCACUUCAGCUGGUUCUCCUGAACCUUGAAUUAUCUUAGGAAAGAUUGUAUUUUCAGGAAUUAAGUCUAUUGGAGACACAGCAGGACUCCACAGCCAGCUAGAUUUGGAUAAAAUGUAGACUGCCUCAAGGCCAGUGUGUUGACUUCUGACCAGUCUCAUCUGAACCCACACCCUUUAACAUAUAUACAAAACACCUGAAGGGUUGGGCUGCCAGCUUUCUUUAGGAUGAUAGAGGGCAGGUUAAGUUUGUUUGACAUAACUAGAAGAGGUGGAGCCUCUUCCUAAUGGAGCAAGGUCCAUUUAUGGCAAACUGUGGUCCCCCACCACUAUCAGCUACUUCUGGAUAGCUUUUGCUUAAAGUUGAUGAGAUAUUGUUUCUUUCACUAGAAGAAAAUGAAUGAGUUGGUGAUCCCAAACUUUGGCCUCCAAAGGAAGCCUGGGCAGGUGACAAAUGUGUCCUAAGCGAGACUGCUGCUUCCAUGCUCAUGCUGGAGGUACAUUUGCCCUGAAAGAUGGAGCAAAAGUGCUGAAGCUUAGCACAGAGGAUUAAUGAAUAAGAACAAGGCUAUGUUAUAUCAUAUUUGUAUAGCAAUCUGGAAAAGAAAGAACGGGGCUUGUUAAGGCAAAUGGGCAAGACAAAACGGGAUAUCUAUAGGCAGCAAGGGGUCCUGCCAGUCUAAGACUAAUGGAAAACUGGCC
rnacentral:lncRNA from 1 species